rnacentral:rRNA from 1 species
AUACGGAGGGUGCAAGCGUUGCUCGGAAUCACUGGGCGUAAAGAGAGCGUAGGCGGAUAAUUUAGUCAGAUGUGAAAGCCCGGAGCUCAACUCCGGAAUUGCAUCUGAAACUGGUUAUCUAGAGUACAGGAGAGGAGAGUGGAAUUCCUGGUGUAGAGGUGAAAUUCGCUGAUAUCAGGAGGAACACCCGUGGCGAAGGCGACUCUCUGGUCUGAUACUGACGCUGAGGCUCGAAAGUGUGGGGAGCAAACAGGAUUAGAUACCCUGGUAGUCCACAACUGUAAACGAUGAAUGCUCGACGUGUGUCCCGUUUUGCCGGACGCGUGUCCAAGCUAACGCAAUAAGCAUUCCGCCUGGGGAGUACGGUCGCAAGACUAAA